UAGAUGCUUGAUUGGGAUAUACUCUUUCUAUUUCCUUACAAAAUUUUGUAAUUGUUAAAAAGUGGAAGUGUAUCAGCGUACGCAAGCUCUUGCAAAAAAGGGUGGGAAGUAAUUUGGUGGCAUAGUUUACCUCUGAAAUUUUAAACAUGUCAUUUAUAAGAAGGCGAAGGGCAAAAUGAGAAUCCAAGUCAAUAAUGUUUCCUCCAAUAUAAUACGACGGCCCAUAUCUGCAGAUCUCAGCGUGGGCCCUUGCAACCCGCUUGUAUCGAGGUUGCUCUCUGGAGUGAAUCAGUGUGUUUAUAUCGCUGCUUAAAAGGAGGGUAGAGAUAUGCUUUCGUUAAAUCCGUCGUUUGCAUCACAUAGCUUAAAUGAACGGUAGAGAUCUGCUUUAGCUCUCCUAUAAAUAAUCGCAACCGCUAACCACCGUGUUAUUAAUCCUGCAUAUAUGAACGGUCGAGAUUAGCUUUAGCUCUCCUAUAAAUAACCGCAACAACAGACAUCUUGCUUUACUGUGGGUUUGGGAAGCGGAAGGCAUUCGAGGGCGGACGACCAGGAGGAGCCAAACCCUGCUUCCACCUCUUGGCCUAUGCCUCUCCCGUGCAAUUCGCCGCCCAAGGUUCUUGUGAGGAAGUAAAGCUUCCUCGCUGGUAUCGCAUCGUUCUAAGGUUCAAGACGACUCUCAAGCCAAUAUAAACUAAGUCCACUACGGAACGAUUCCUCGGAGAUAUUCUUGAUGGGAGGAAAUCUUCUGAGAUCUCAUCUACGCAUCUCUCCGUUGAGGAAUUCAGUUAUUCUCCUCGACUCUCUCCCCAAAACCCUCUCCCCAAAUCCAUCAAUCUGGGUGAUCCUGUGAAAGGAUAGGAAAAGAGGAGAAAGGGUCUACUCUUCGCACUUCCUGCAGAUUCCGCAGCGCGAUCGGAUUAAAGACGGAGCCUGCAGCAAUCUUGGAUCACGGUGCUGAGCAGAUCAAACAAGAUCUCUGAACGGAUGGCAUCAAAAGGUACGCAUCGUAUAGAUCUAUGUAUUGAAUUUCAAUCCUGGCAUGUAGGUUAAUUCUGCAUUAUUGACAUAGCAUAAUUACAGAUUUUUAUGCUUACAAUUAGUUAGGGGAAAUUACUUCUCAAGAACUAGGGUUUCGUGAUUGUUUUGCUCACCUGCUUGUGAAUGGUAGAUAAUGGCGUCGAGUUCAAGAAGCUAAGAGGUUGAGAGUUUCUUCUUGCCAUAAUAAACAAGUGAGAUGAAUCAUUCAUGAUUCACUAGUCAUAGAUGUCCAAUAUCAUGUACCGGAUCAAGUGCGACUGACAGAAGCGCCCCUACCCUAACAAAUGGUAGAGACGAGAGGAGAGCACUUGGAAGAGAUUGAUCGAUAUAUUGAGCAAAUAAAAAUCAGAACAAAGGGCCACGUCCAUGGUUCAUGACGGUAGCAAGUUUUGUGAUGGAUAUUCAAAUAUGAGCUUCUUGUAACUCACAUAGUUGUCGUAGUAUGGAUAUUCAGGUUACCUAAGUCGUGCGGCACCCUUACGUGUCUGUCCGUAAAGGUCAAUCUUCCCGAAACCUCUUAUGGUCCCUUAGGACCUACAAAAGAGAAAACGAGUUAGAGAAAGUGCCUCAUUCGAGAUCCACAAGUUACAAACGGACUUUACAAGCUUUGAACGAUUGCACAAUAAAAGGUCAAAAUGAUCAACUACAGACCGAAUAUCUCUUACAAGUAUCCAUAUGACACAAUAUUAAUUGGCAUUAAUGUGAUUUAUCUGUGAUGUUAUUAUGGGACUUAGAACUUUUGACUUGCUAGAUUAGAGGAUACAUAAGAAGAGAGUUACAGUAUACAAAAUCGAGAGAGAUUCUUCAGCUAUACCUCCAAGUCUGCAACAUUAGAGGGCACCAAAUCUGAAAAAUCAAUGAGUUCUUCAGUUGUGCUCGCAAAUCCGUGACUUUGUAGCAAUAAAUCUGAAUAGAGGAUCUUUUAAUUUGUGUGACUCAAUUAUCCAUUACAUGAUAUAAUCGUUCAUUAACUAACAGGUUUUCAUUGUAAUUAUAGGUGCACUUAUAAUUCAAUUUGUGUUUGUUUAUGUCUAGUCUUACCUGAAAGUUGUUAGAUUGUGAUAAAUCCUUUAAUCAUAUAUAUGAUGAAAUGCAUUUCUAAUUUCCUCUUUUUUUUCUUCUCUUAUAAUUUGCACUUUAUACAAAAUGCUAUACUUGGGUUGAUAGAGCGUGAACACAUUAACUGAUCCAUAUUUUAAACUGAGCCAAACUCCUGCAACAAAAUUUUAGGCAUAUGAUUCGCCGUUGAUGUAUGGUCUCUUGACCCUUAUUGACCUUCUAGCCAUGCUUGUUUUGGCAGUGGAUAUUGUUGUUUGUUUAUUCAUGCAACAAAGUCCCUUUGAGAUCUAUUUGUCCAUUUACAUGACUCAUUACACCACUAGUGUCUCUCAUUCUUCCCACGUGUCCAGGUAGAACUUGUUGAAAUAUUUUAUGGUCAUGAUGUUACUUUUCAUUUAAGGAUCAUCUCUCUUUAUAUUGGGAAAAGGCAUUCCCGAGUACUUUUCUUUGGGUACAAUAAGCUUGUUUUAUUUUGGGGACCAUAAGAUUAUUAGUUCUUAAAGCUUUUUAUUUUUAGUUAAUAAUGGAAAUCUUGAAGCAAUUGUCCUCAUCUGUUGUACUGUCAAAUUCCAUCAUAUGACUUUUAUGGUUGUGAUGCAUAACCUUCUCUGGUGACCAACUGGAAGAUCACUGUUUGGUAUGUUUCCUUUGUUCGAAAAUUGGUGUUUUCUGUGUUUGAAGUAUCGGCAGUACAAAGCAGUAAGGCUGGUUCAUCUGUAUUUCGUUUACAUGCGGGACAAGCCGUUGGGAAUCUUCCUUUGGUGUUUGUGUGCAUGCGUUUUGAAUUAUCGGCGGUAUGCAUGUAUUCGUCUGCUACUGCGUCAGUCUUCCUUUGUUAUUUUCACUCAAAAGCAGUCGGGAAUGAUUUUGCUCCAUUUGCUUCUUUGGCUUCAUUUUUUUCCUGAACUAUUUUUAACGGAGUCCUGCUGUGUUGUGUUAGUGCUAAUACACUAUCUUUUUGUUUAAUGUUC